GGGGGUGACAUGGUUUCGACAGGGAACCUGAGUGUGAGAGAUGCAUGCCGGAGACGCUGUCUGCUCCGUCAUAAAGCAGCAAACAAAUCUAAUUGCAGAUUACAAUUACUCCUUGGCAGCGUAAGCUUGCCAACGUUCAAUCCGUCCGCGCCGCCGGGAUGGAAUUGGGCGUCGUAACAGUGCGGCUGCUCCGAACCCGACACCCAUAAGGUUCGGCUAAGACCUUGGGACCGGCUCCUGCGGGUUUGACCAUCUUUCACCGCCUGAGCUUAAAUUAAAGAUGGCUAAGCAUGUAGAUUCACUCAUAAUCUGUUCUUUGGACGCGGGUUCGAUACCCGCCACCUCCACCA
rnacentral:tmRNA from 1 species